UAACGCGAAGAACCUUACCUGGCCUUGACAUCCUCGGAACCCUGCAGAGAUGCGGGGGUGCCUUCGGGAACCGAGAGACAGGUGCUGCAUGGCUGUCGUCAGCUCGUGUCGUGAAAUGUUGGGUUAAGUCCCGCAACGAGCGCAACCCUUGUCCUUAGUUGCCAUCAUUUAGUUGGGAACUCUAAGGAGACCGCCGGUGACAAACCGGAGGAAGGUGGGGAUGACGUCAAGUCAUCAUGGCCUCCAUGGCCAGGGCUACACACGUGCUACAAUGGCAGGUACAGAGGGAAGCCAACUCGCGAGAGGGAGCUAAUCCCAGAAAGCCUGUCGUAGUCCGGAUCGGAGUCUGCAACUCGACUCCGUGAAGUCGGAAUCGCUAGUAAUCGCAGAUCAGCAUUGCUGCGGUGAAUACGUUCCCGGGCCUUGUACACACCG
rnacentral:rRNA from 1 species